UACGGAGGAUGCAAGCGUUAUCCGGAAUUAUUGGGCGUAAAGCGUCCGCAGGUGGUUUAUCAAGUCUGCUGUCAAAGCGUCUGGCUCAACCAGAUAAAGGCAGUGGAAACUACAUAGCUAGAGUAAGGUAGGGGUAGAGGGAAUUCCUGGUGUAGCGGUGAAAUGCGUAGAGAUCAGGAAGAACACCGGUGGCGAAAGCGCUCUGCUGGACCUUAACUGACACUGAGGGACGAAAGCUAGGGGAGCGAAUGGG
rnacentral:rRNA from 1 species